CCUACGGGUGACUGCAGUGGGGAAUAUUGCACAAUGGGGGGAACCCUGAUGCAGCAAUGCCGCGUGGGUGAAGAAGCACUCCGGUGCGUAAAGCCCUGUCAGCAGGGAAGAAAAUGACAGUACCUGGACAAGAAGCCCCGGCUAACUACGUGCCAGCAGCCGCGGUAAUACGUAGGGGGCAAGCGUUAUCCGGAUUUACUGGGUGUAAAGGGAGCGCAGGCGGCGUGGCAAGUCAGAUGUGAAAACCCGGGGCCCAACCCCGGGAGUGCAUUUGAAACUGCCAUGCUGGAGUGCCGGAGAGGUAAGCGGAAUUCCUAGUGUAGCGGUGAAAUCCGUAGAUAUCUGGAGGAACAUCAGUGGCGAAGGCGACUAUCUGGCACAUAACUGACGCUGAGGAGCGAAAGCGUGGGUAGCAAACAGGAUUAGAUACCCUAGUAGUC
rnacentral:rRNA from 1 species